GGAUAGGUAGGAGCCUUUGAAACGUGAGCGCUAGCUUACGUGGAGGCGUUGGUGGGAUACUACCCUAGCUGUGUUGGCUUUCUAACCCGCACCACUUAUCGUGGUGGGAGACAGUGUCAGGCGGGCAGUUUGACUGGGGCGGUCGCCUCCUAAAAGGUAACGGAGGCGCUCAAAGGUUCCCUCAGAAUGGUUGGAAAUCAUUCAUAGAGUGUAAAGGCAUAAGGGAGCUUGACUGCGAGACCUACAAGUCGAGCAGGGUCGAAAGACGGACUUAGUGAUCCGGUGGUUCCGCAUGGAAGGGCCAUCGCUCAACGGAUAAAAGCUACCCCGGGGAUAACAGGCUUAUCUCCCCCAAGAGUUCACAUCGACGGGGAGGUUUGGCACCUCGAUGUCGGCUCAUCGCAUCCUGGGGCUGUAGUCGGUCCCAAGGGU
rnacentral:rRNA from 1 species